rnacentral:rRNA from 1 species
UACAGAAGGUGCGAGCGUUGUCCGGAAUCACUGGGCGUAAAGGGCGCGUAGGCGGCCUUCUAAGUCAGACGUGAAAUCCCCCGGCUUAACCUGGGAACUGCGUCUGAUACUGGGAGGCUUGAGUAUGGGAGAGGGAUGUAGAAUUCCAGGUGUAGCGGUGAAAUGCGUAGAUAUCUGGAGGAAUACCGGUGGCGAAGGCGGCAUCCUGGACCAUUACUGACGCUGAGGCGCGAAAGCUAGGGGAGCAAACGGG